rnacentral:rRNA from 1 species
GACGAACGCUGGCGGCGUGCUUAACACAUGCAAGUCGAACGGAAAGGCCCUGCUUUUUUGUGGUGCUCGAGUGGCGAGCGGGUGAGUAACACGUGAGUAACCUGCCCUUGACUUUGGGACAACUUCAGGAGACUGGGGCUAAUACAGGAUAGGAGCUCCUGCUGCAGGGUGGGGUUUGGAAAGUUUCGGCGGUUGGGGAUGGACUCGCGGCUUAUGAGCUUGUUGGGGGGGUAGUGGCUUACCCGGGCUUUGAUGGGUAGCCGGCCUGAGAGGGUGAACGGCGACAUUGGGACUGAGAGACGGCGCAGACUGCAAUGGGAGGCAGUAGUGGGGAAUAUUGCACAGUGGGCGGAAGCGUGAUGCAGCAACGCCGCGUGCGGGAAGACGGCCUUCGGGUUGGAAACCGCUUUCGCCUGUGACGAAGCGGGAGUGACGGUACUGGGAAAAGAAGCACCGGCUAACUACGUG